rnacentral:rRNA from 1 species
GACAGAGGCCCCAAGCGUUAGGCGGAAUCACUGGGCUUAAAGCGUGUGUAGGCGGACGCCUAAGUGUCUUGUGAAAUCCCACGGCUCACCCGUGGAACUGCUGGGCAUACUGGGCGUCUUGGGCCAACUAGGGGCAGCCGGAACAAGCGGUGGAGCGGUGAAAUGCGUAGAUAUCGGGAGGAACACCAGUGGCGAAGGCGACUACCUGGCCUGUUCUUGACGCUGAGGCGCGAAAGCUAGGGGAGCAAACGGG